CAACAAAUCAACUUAGGCUGUGCUUGCUUCUUUUUAGCCAGAUCUGAAAUUCUUGGAGCAGUCUUUGCAAGAGCACAACACAGAUCAUCAUCUGCAUCAAGUCUGCUCCUGUAUUUAGAUUUGAUAACCAACAAGCUUGAAAAGCCUGUUUCACAAAGGUAUGUUGUUGGAAAAGGAAGAAUCAGGCGCAAUGCGAUCUCAGACAGAACGGGAUAUGACUGCAAACUUUUGAUCCAAAAUUUGGUAACUGACAUUGAAGAAAAAUUAGUUUUUGCUGCAUCGCUGGUAAUGAGUUCAAUGAACUCCUCUUGUGCUAGGCUUGCCACACGUCCCAGUUUUGCCGGGACAGUCCCGAUUUUAAGGCCUUGUCCCGGCGUCCCGGCCGGUUAACGAGUUUGUCCCGGAAUUUUUAAUUUAAGAUGUGCAAAUAAAAAAACUGUUACAAGAGUUACACGCAUGUUGCGUUACACACGUUUUACGUCACAGACAGCAUUAUUUGCCAGUGAAUGUCUACGUGUGGUGAUGCAAUCACAAAUCAACCGGUUCUGCAGCGUGCUAUUUAUUUUGUACUUUUUUAGCAUUAUGCCCAAAAGAAAAUGUAAGUUUACAGAUGAUCUACAGCGAGAAUUUUCGUAUUUAAAAGACCAAGGUCAUGGUAAAUUGCUUUGUAAUAUUUGUCUAUCCGUGUUUUCAAUCAGCCACGGUGGCCGUUCUGAUGUUAAAGAUCAUUUAGCUACCAAAAAGCACAAAGCUUCUAUUGAAGCAGCUGCAUCCUCAUCUUGUGUGUCAUCCUUCUUCAAAACUACAUCCUUCUUCAAAACUUUACCUGCCAAUAACCACAUUCCAAGUCCAGUGUGCUAAACCAUUUCGAACCCCCGAGAAAAUCUAUAGUGUCGUCAAUGCGCGGUAAAGGAUACGUGUCUUUCCGGGUCACCGAAUUGAGCGCUCGGAAAUCGACGCAAAACCUUGCUGAACCAUCCGGCUUUUUAACUAGCACAACCGGGGAACUCCAAGGACUAUGAGAUGGCUCAAUUACCCCUCGCUCUAACAUCUUGGUGAUUUCCGCCUCCGCAGUGGCCCGUUUACCCCAUGCCAUCCUUCUCGGUGGUACGCGGAUGGGAUGAGCGGUACCCAUAUCAAUAUCAUGGUUCACAAUAGUCGUCGAACCAAGUUCGCUACCGGGGGAAACUUUCUGUUUAUGGAUGCACCACCUGCUACAAUGGCUUGGUCGGCAAGGGCUGCAGGUGAACGUGCAUACAGUUCAAUCGCCCAACGUACAACAUCUGGGUGAAAACGUCUUAUAUUUGGAGAUGCUUUUGCAUUCUGACAUUGAUUCAAAAAGAACAUUUUCUGCCACUUGUUCAUCUCUUUGUUUUCUGUUUUGUACAAAUCUUGAAAGUAUAACACAAAAUAAUUUGUUGUUUUUGAUGCAUUUAAAAGUACACUUACAAGUAUAUCACGGUGUGUGCCUUCAUCAGUGCUUAAAAGAUUUUCAUCUUGAACUUUUUUCAUUGCAGAGUAUUUUUUAUUAUAUGUAGUUUUAAUAUCAAACCGACAGCAUUAGUAGCACUUUUGCAUU